GCGAGCUGUGAAGUUGCAAACCGGUCUCCUGGUUUCUUUUAGGUCUAUGGUUGCAACCCAUUAUUACACUAUGUCAUAAUUUGUUUUCCACAAGGAUUUUCUCUACAAAAUAUCACAGCCGAGAACGAGCCUCUUGCAUUAUUUCAGCCAGCGAUGUGAAACAUCGUGUCGUCAUGAUUUGCCACCACAAGUUGACGAUAGUACCAGGAGAGAGUUACAGUUGCACAAACUAAAAGCAGUCGGCUUUUAUCCCCUGCUGCUUGUGGCCAAGAAGAGUAAGGGAGGAUUCAAGGCACAGCUGCUAUACCUUGAUCAGCAGCUGAAUGCAGAUAAAAUGGAAUUUACCACAGCCAGCUGUCUCCAUUGCACCUACUCCCACCCUCAUUACCCUCACCCCCACCCACCCUGCCCACCCUACCUACCCUACCUACCCUCACCCCCACCCACCCUGCC